GCUGAAACCCUAUUCCCAGUGUGAUAAUAUUAGGAAAUGGGGCCUUUGGAGGGUGAUUAGAAUGAGAUGGAGGUCA